CACUUCAGGAAGUGCCAUCCAUGUGGAUAGAAAUAUGAUUGGCAUUUCUUAGAGUGGA
rnacentral:pre_miRNA from 1 species